rnacentral:rRNA from 1 species
ACCUGAUUGAUUCUGUCUGCGCUAUACGCUCAGUUUAAAGAUUAAGCCAUGCAUGUCGAGCUCAUCUAAGGAGAAACUGCGACGGCCCGGUAGAGCAAAUGUCACUUAUUCGGAAAGUCCUUUUGGAUAACUGUGGCAAUUCUGGAGCUAAUACAUGCGAAUAAACUCUGACUUUCGAAAGGGUGCAAUUAUUAGAGCAAAUCAAUCAUCUUCGGAUGUAGUUCGCUGGCUCUAAAUAAUGCUGCAUAUCAGCGGCUUGUCCGCCGAUAUUUCGAAAAAGUGUCUGCCCAACCAAUGAUGGUAGUCUAUUAGUCUACCAUGGUUAUUACGGGUAACGGAGAAUAAGGGUUUUGACUCCGGAGAGGGAGCCUUAGAAGCGGCUACCACAUCCAAGGAAGGCAGCAAGCGCGUAGCUUAUCCACUCUUGAAGAGAUGAGAUAGUGACUAAAAAUAAAAUGACCAUUCCUAUGGGGCGAUCAUUUCAAUGAGUUGAUCAUAAAGCUUUUUUCGAGGAUCAAGUGGAGGGCAGGUCUGGUGCCAGCAGCCGCAAUAAUUCCAGCUCCACUAGUGUAACUCGUCAUUGCUGCGGUCAAAAAGCUUGUAGCUGAAUUUGAGUCACUUGCAGUGGUUCGCCUUUGGCGGUAAUCGCUGUUGUGACUAUUUUUUGUUUUUCUACUAAGGUUUCGGCCUUUGUGGUGGCUAGCGAGUUUACUCUGAAUAAAUUAGAGUGCUCAGAAAAGGCGUUUGCCUGAAUGCUCGAUCAUGGAAUAAUAAUGAAAGAGCACCUCGGUUUCAUUUAUCGGUUCAGGAACUGAAAUAAUGGUUAAGAGGGACAAUUGAGGGGCACUCGUAUCCCUGCGCGAGAGGUGAAAUUCGUGAACCGCAGGGGAACACCCUAAAGCGAAAGCAUUUGCCAAGAAUGUAUUCAUUAAUCAAGAACGAAAGUCAGAGGUUUCAAGGCGAUUAGAUACCGCCCUAGCUCUGACCGUAAACUAUGCCAUCCAGCGAUCCGAUGGGGUAUUGUUGCCUUGUCGAGGAGCUUCCCGGACACGAAAGUCUUUCGGUUCCUGGGGUAGUAUGGUUGCAAAGCUGAAACUUAAAGAAACUGACCGAAUAGAAUCACCAGGAGCGGAGCCUGCGGCCUAAUUUGACUCAACACGGGAAAACUCACGUGGAUCGGACACCGUAAGGAUUGACAGACUGGAAGCUCUUUCUCGAUUUGGUGGUUGGUGGCGCAUGACGGUGCAUGACAAAGAGACGCAGGGAUGCGAAGUGCCGGUUUUCAAAAAGUCCUUCAGAGGACUUUUUGGCUCCCGGUUGUAGGAAGACUAUAGCCAACUAGGAAGAGGGUUGGACGUGACCAGGUCAGUUGGCGUGCUUCGUGUUUGCCUGGCUGUAAAGCACAAGUCGGUAGCUAACCCGCUUCCCAAGUUUGUAUCAAGCCGUCCUGCUGGUGAAAUUCUUGCAUCUUGUUGUGGCGGAUUCGACUGGAUGCAAUAGAUGAUGAAUCAACCAUAAUACAUCAUCGCCUUCUUCACAAAGUAUCACCACCAAAGAAAUUCUGCCACAAAGUGCUUUUUUGUACAAAAACUGUUUGUUGCUUUUCUUUGGAAUAAUUUGGACGGAAUAAUUUUCAAAGGAUAAAAGUAAGGUCAACUGGUGGCUUGCUCAUCGCUCCAUCUCUUCUUUCCCACGUUUUCGUGAGGUGGUGAAAUUAAAGCCUUGCUGAUAAAGAAUUCAUGACGCAGCGGUUCGGAUGUCUGCACGUUACACGGUGCGCGUCAAAACUAAUGACCACCCCCAAAAAUAACCAAAAUCGCGGAAGUCCGCAAAUUUUCUAGCCAGCGCUUCACACCAUCGUAAUCAGCAUCUCAGAUGACAUGUGUACAUGAGGUUUCGCAAUUUUUGCUCCUGUAUUUACAUUCUUGCCAAUUUUUAAUUCAAAAUAUACCGCGUCAAAACUAUAGUUCACUCCCCAGAAAACGGCUUUCAAAGUCAUAAAUUGAAGGUGGUAGUAGUGCAUCUAUUUGGUGUGAGAAGCAGAAAUUCCAGAGAACGCAUGUUAGAUUAGAUCCAUCGCAAAACAUUUGUUGCACAUGGCGAGAGUGAAGAUUUAGGGACUAAUGCCUUUUAAUACCUAAAAUACCUACUCUUUUAUUAACUGAGAAAUCAUGUGUGUAUGUAUGUGUGUUUAUGUGAGCACGGGAGCUAGGGCCUAUCGAGAAAAACUACGAACACCAUCGUGUUCAGCGCCAUGAGUUACACACAGAAAGGGUGCAAAUUUUUAGAUUUGUCUAAUUCUGANNNNNNNNNNNNNNNNNNNNNNNNNNNNNNNNNNNNNNNNNNNNNNNNNNNNNNNNNNNNNNNNNNNNNNNNNNNNNNNNNNNNNNNNNNNNNNNNNNNNAUAUAAAAUGUCGAUCGUGAAGUUGUUUAAGCGAAACGAGAAUAAAAUUAUAUCACCAUCGUGUAUAUAAGGGCUGUCAAACAUCAGUAGACUUCAUUUUAGUGGGAUCGCUCCCACUGGAGCGUGCGCGCCAACAAGCGUGCUGGACGGCCCGUUUGCGGCGGCGCCGUCUGGCCGGUGCGCCAUGCGGCGUGUGCGCCAUCGGGGGUGUGCACGGUCAGCCCGCAUGUGGGCUGACUUGCACGUGUGUCGUAUUGCGCGUGCGCCAUCCAGUCCGAUCAUGUAAUAUUCUGAGUUGAGAGAUAGUAGAAACAGUAAAUAAUCCGAUACUUUUUCCCACUAUGAUGUCACCUAUUGUACUGUGAUCGCUCCAACGAAGUUUUGCCUUUUGAUCUCUGGCAAUU